UACGUAGGUGGCGAGCGUUGUCCGGAUUUACUGGGCGUAAAGGGAGCGUAGGCGGACUUUUAAGUGAGAUGUGAAAUACCCGGGCUCAACUUGGGUGCUGCAUUUCAAACUGGAAGUCUAGAGUGCAGGAGAGGAGAAUGGAAUUCCUAGUGUAGCGGUGAAAUGCGUAGAGAUCAGGAGGAACACCGGCGGCGAAGGCGGCUUUCUGGCUGACAACUGACGCUGAGGCGCGAAAGCGUGGGGAGCAAACAGGAUUAGAUACCCCGGUA
rnacentral:rRNA from 1 species